UGGGGAAUAUUGCACAAUGGGGGAAACCCUGAUGCAGCGACGCCGCGUGAACGAAGAAGGUAUUCGUAUCGUAAAGUUCUGUCCUAUGGGAAGAUAAUGACAGUACCAUAGAAGAAAGCUCCGGCUAAAUACGUGCCAGCAGCCGCGGUAAUACGUAGGUCCCGAGCGUUGUCCGGAUUUAUUGGGCGUAAAGCGAGCGCAGGCGGUUAGAAAAGUCUGAAGUGAAAGGCAGUGGCUCAACCAUUGUAGGCUUUGGAAACUGUUUAACUUGAGUGCAGAAGGGGAGAGUGGAAUUCCAUGUGUAGCGGUGAAAUGCGUAGAUAUAUGGAGGAACACCGGUGGCGAAAGCGGCUCUCUGGUCUGUAACUGACGCUGAGGCUCGAAAGCGUGGGGAGCGAACAGG
rnacentral:rRNA from 1 species